rnacentral:rRNA from 1 species
UACGAAGGGGGCGAGCGUUGUUCGGAAUUACUGGGCGUAAAGGGCGCGCAGGCGGCUCAUUUUGUCAGGCGUGAAAGCCCCGGGCUUAACCUGGGAGGUGCGUUUGAUACGGAUGGGCUGGAGUUCGGGAGAGGAGAGCGGAAUUCCCAGUGUAGAGGUGAAAUUCGUAGAUAUUGGGAAGAACACCGGUGGCGAAGGCGGCUCUCUGGACCGAUACUGACGCUGAGGUGCGAAAGCGUGGGGAGCAAACAGG